rnacentral:misc_RNA from 1 species
AAGGUGGGGCUAAUGACUGGGGUGAAGUCGUAACAAGGUAGCCGUACCGGAAGGUGCGGCUGGAUCACCUCCUAACAGGGAGACAACAAAAUGUUUAAUAUUAUUAUUUUGUCACCUUAGGUCGAUCGGUAUCUCACGUUUUUAAUUUAUUAAGAAUUUCAUUUCCUAAGUUUUUCUAGGUCACACCCAUUAUUUUUCCUGGGCCAUUAGCUCAGGUGGUUAGAGCGCACCCCUGAUAAGGGUGAGGUCCCUGGUUCAAGUCCAGGAUGGCCCAUAUCUCUAUCUAUGUUGGGGGUAUAGCUCAGUUGGUAGAGCGCCUGCUUUGCAAGCAGGAUGUCAGCGGUUCGAGUCCGCUUACCUCCACUGAUUACCACCUCUUCCAUAACCGGUAGAAAGGGAAUGUUUUGAGUUGUGAUCAAAUUCUGAAAGAAUCUAGCUUCCUAAUGAAACCAUUAAGAUGCUGGACUCAUUGAAUUAAUUUCAUUGUUUUCAGAGAACCUUGACAACUGCAUAGAUUAUUUUUAAAGACAAUAAGCAUCUUUAUUGAUGCAGAUUUAUUAUUUGUGCGAAUGCAUUAAUAACAAUUCUAUUAAGCUGAUGCUUCAAUUUUUGAAGUUAUUGGUCAAGCUACAAAGGGCUCACGGAGGAUACCUAGGCACACAGA